ACAGGGAUUGCCCUAGUAACGGCGAGUGAAGCGGCAACAGCUCAAAUUUGAAAUCUGGCUCUUUUAGAGUCCGAGUUGUAAUUUGCAGAGGGCGCUUUGGCUUUGGCAGCGGUCCAAGUUCCUUGGAACAGGACGUCACAGAGGGUGAGAAUCCCGUACGUGGUCGCUGGCUAUUGCCGUGUAAAGCCCCUUCGACGAGUCGAGUUGUUUGGGAAUGCAGCUCUAAAUGGGAGGUACAUUUCUUCUAAAGCUAAAUAUUGGCCAGAGACCGAUAGCGCACAAGUAGAGUGAUCGAAAGAUGAAAAGCACUUUGGAAAGAGAGUCAAACAGCACGUGAAAUUGUUGAAAGGGAAGCGCUUGCAGCCAGACUUGCUUACAGUUGCUCAUCCGGGU
rnacentral:rRNA from 1 species